UGUCUCUCAAACACUCCUCUCAUUUCUACCAAGUGUAUCAAACACUGCUCUUCUUCUGUCUCUCACAGGUCUGCCUCCCACCUAACCCUUCUCCCUCUCUUCUUCUUGAUUUCAAAUGGGAGUCGAGUGUUCUGUAAAUCCUUCUCAGUACCUUCACUCGCUUCGAUCGAACUCAUUCGAUUUAAGUUUUUCAGAGCUCGAACUUCCUCAUCCAACCCUUCUAGGGUUUUUCGAAUGGCCACCGAGCCUCCUUCUUCAUCCUCAUCAUCACCACCACACUCCGCUUCAGCUUCCUCUAAUGGCGAUUCAUCCUCGGUCCCCGCUUCUUCUGCCAUCGAUUUUCUGUCUCUCUGUCACCGUCUCAAGGUAUUCCUCAUCCAACCCUUCUAUGUAUAUAUGUAUCGAUUCUCUCUCGAAUAUCAUUGCCUAAAUUUGUGAUUUUGUUUUUUGGGUUUGGGGGUUUUUUGGGGUUUGAUCAAACGACGAAGAGAACGGGAUGGGAGCGAAGGGAUGUUGAGAAUCCAGAGUCCAUAGCCGAUCAUAUGUAUCGAAUGGGGUUGAUGGCUCUCAAAUAGGAUAUUUUGUGCCAUGGGAAGCAAAUUUAUGAAUGCUGACCAAUCAACAUUUAUGAUUGAUCUACAUCAAGUUGGAAUGAUGCUAAGAUUCUAAUUCUGUCGGAACUGCUCGCUCCCAUUCUCUUUUUGUCUCGAGUCGAUCACUUCGCUCACUCUUUUCAAACUAAAGCUUUUGCCUUCAUCAGAGCUUUUGCCUUCAUCACUUUGGCUACUCAGCUAUUCACUUCGGCUGCUCGACAUCCUGCUCGGCUGCUCGGUUAGUUUAUUACUUUGAUUCUUAUUGUUUUUCUUUUGUUAUUGCUUUGGUAACGUUUGGCUUUUGCUUUGAUAUUGAGCCAACUGAUAUAUUGCUUUGCUAUUGAGUAAAACUAAAGAAGAAUUCUGCAUAUGAUUUCGGCAAGAAUUCUGCAUAUGAAUUCUGCAGAAUUUUGGCUGAUCAAUCCCUUGGUCUCAAGUGGAACGGCUAUUUGUCCCCAAGGUAUAAACGUUGUUGUAAACUAUGUCAAGUUGUAAUUCAAAUAUUGUUUUGCUAUGUUUUUUUGUCUUCACUAAUAGAAUUCAAGUGUUUUCAGCAACAAUUUCAGUCAAAACACAUCUAUUGCAUUAAGCUCUGUAUUCGUUACAUAAUCUGCGAUCAAGUUGGUUAUUGACUUUGAAUUUUGUAUUCAUUACAUAAUAUGCAUCUAAGUUGGUUGGUCUGAAGCUCACUUUGAAUGUCCAUAUCAUUCUUCUACACAAGUCAGAAUAUACAAUGACAAAAACAAUUAUAGCCUUUUU